CGACCCCCGCGGGCCGCCGGGAGCGCCCCCCGCCCCAGAAAUGAGCCAUUUACGGGGAUUUUGGCGUCUUCUUGCAAAUCAAAAAAAAAAAAAUGGUGCGAGGAAAACAAUACGGGUAUAUCUGGGCUGGAAGGCUCCUGGAGGGGCAGGCAGCGCUGAGCGGGCUCCCGACGGCUUCGGCCGCGCCGCCGCCCCGGCUCCCCCACGCCCGGGACAGGGCGGCCCGUGCCGGGGGCGGGCGAGGCUGCAGGGAGAGCUGCUCGCCCUCUGCGCCUCCGGGCCGCCACAGGAGCCAGGCAGAGCUGAGAUGCUGAGUGUGACAGAGACAUCUUCCAAAGAGGAAUUUCAGAAGUCUGUCCUGCAGCCGCGACACUGACAACGUUCAGAGUUGGUGAAGACGGCUAAUUACAACCCCCACAGACAGACAGUGAAGACUGCACACUCCACCAAGAGACCAAGACACAGGCUACAGUUUUUCACAAGGAUAUUAUAAGAAGAAAGUGUUAUAAAAAUCAGUAUGGAUCCACCACGUGACACAAUGGCCUCCAUCACUCCCCUCCAUUAAUCCCUAUCCUGCAUCCCUGUGCUGUAGUUGUGGAACCUCAUCCACUACUGCCAUGCCAUGGGUCCAGCUUAGUGCCUCAGCUCAGGGUGCUGGAUGCUGCAGAAGCAAACAUGUGCUGGAGACCUGCCUGUGUAACACAGGACCCAGCACGGGCUGUGAGGGCAAAAUGGCUCCCUCUGGACUGUGCAUACCUCUGAGGGGAAUGAAAAAGGUUUGUUGCAAAAGUUUGUGGUGAUUUGGUACAGAGGACUAAUUGGGGUGAGUCACUGGUAAGACUUCAACGUUGUGAGUUGGAACAAAAAUCUCAGUGGAACAGUACCAGAAUUAUUUAAAUGUUUUAAAUUAUAAUUUGUCAUGAAGAAAAAGACAACACUUCAUGCAAAGGCAAUUUUACAGGAGUGAUUGCUCUGACACAAGCAGCAGACAAUAAGGGAGGUGCCAGCCCAGGAAAAUAUGUGUGGAGCCAUUGGCAGGACACGCAUGGGAAGAUAAAAACUAAAAAUCCAAGUGAAUCUCUGGCAUAACAGCAGACAGUAUUGCAGCUGAUGACAAUAAAGUUCCCACAUUAAUACUUCAGUAGGAAAAGGUGCCAAUAAAGACCUUAUUGAAAAGCACACAGAAUCAGAGCUUGAUCUGUAUUUAGAACAACUCAGUUUCAGAGCAUGCAUGGAGCUGUCACCUGAGGACACUUUUUCCAACAGAAAACAGAAACCCAGACUAGCUGCAUUAUUAGACACUGGGGACUUGUAAAAAUGGAGGCUGAGACAGCGAAGCAAACUCCUUAGUCAAACUCAGUGCUGUCAAAUCCAUCUCAUCCUGGAAUGAGAGCUGGUACUAAACUUCAUGGGGAUUCUGAGUUUCCUGGAAAUUGCAGAUGUGUAUUUUUUACAGUAAUUGCUAUAUAAGUGAUCCUUUAAUUUUCUUGCAACAUCCUCUUAAUACUCUCUGCAGACUCAUCAGCCUUCACUGGUUAUUAUCCCUGACCCAAUCCAUUAGAUCGACUCGUAUUACAGCACUGGUCUUCAUUUUAUAUCACACAAAUAGGAUCAGGCAAAUGCAAACAUGAAAUGUGCAGUGUUAGAAAUAUGCAACUGUAAACAUGUUUUUGUUGGGCAAAAUAUGCAAAUACCUAAACAGAUUAAGGAAUAUAGCCCUCCUAUCAAAGGUCUUCGGCUUUCAAAAACAGAGAAUUCCAAAACUGUCAGCAGAAGGAAAAGAAUUGUAAAAAGCACAGAAAAUAAUCACGUGCUUGUCACAUUGUCAAAGCCCACCACCUGCUGCACUUCAGAGCAGCAGAUUGUGGUGGGGCCAAACUUUUUAGCACGGCCUGUUGUAGUGAAGAACAAAGGAACAAAGGAUAAUGAUUCAAAAGGAGGGUCGAUUUAGAUUAGAUAUAAGGAAGUUUUUAUUUUGAGAGAGGCAAAGCACUGGAACAGGUUGGCCACAGAGGUGGUGAACGUCCCAUCCCUGGAAACAUUCAGGGUGGUCACGCUGGUCUAGUGGAAACUGCACGGGGCCUGGGCUCGAGGGGCUUUAAAGCUCCCUUCCAAGCCAAACGCCCAGUGCCCCGGUGAUGACAGGCCCUUGCCCGGUGCCCGGUGCCCGGAGCCGGGCCCGCAGCCCCGCAGCGCCUGCCGCUCACACCCGGCCCUCACGGGCGGCUCCCGGCCCAGCCCAGACCCAGCACAGGGCCCGGCCGUGACGUCACGCGCGGUGUGGCGCACGGGCGCGGCGGCGCUGGCGCUGAGGCGCCGCUGGGUGUCGCUGUUGCCGGGCGGCGCAGCGCGGUACAAAGCCGGGGCGGUGCGGGGCGGCCGCCGCCAUCUUGCAUGGCCCCGCCCGGCCCCGCGGCUCCUUCAGGCGCGGCGCUGCCCGGCCGAGCUCGCACCUUGCGGGGCCGGAGGGGCCCUGGCACUGCAGCCCUCGGGCAGCCCGUGGUCGGCUGCCGCCAGGCCCGGUGUAGCAGCUCCCUCGCAGACAGGGCGGCCCCGCCGCCGUGUGUCCGUCGCUCCUCGCCGAGCGGCCUGUGCCACAAAGGAACGCACCUCGCUGCCAGCGCUCGGGGGAGGCUUGCGAGCAGCUGGGAUAAUUUGCUGGAAAAUUGAAUUUCGGGGCAAAGAGAAAAUCAGAUUAGGGGCAGAAAAGUGAUAAGAAUGCUGAACAAGGGUUUGUGGAGGUUUUGCAGCUGUAGAAAAGGCCGAGCAGGCUGAGUUACCUGACAUUGAGGGAGGAUGUGGGAGGUGGUGUAAGGCGUAGAUGCCCAGUGCAGGUGCGUUUGGGUUUUAUGCCUCCUUAAACCUGGAGUUGGGUUUAUGGGGAAGUCAGAGCUGCAGAAAUGGACACUCAUUCCUGGUCCCUUCUUAGGACAGGUCACGUUGAAGGACAUUUUUCGUCAUGGAACUUAUGCCUUCCUCCCCUUUAUCCCCGGAUUUUGUCCCUGGACAUUGAUUUAGGCCACGGUGUCCAUGUACAUUUUUGAUGGCGUCAUCUGGUUCCAAAUGGGAGAUGUUUCCCAUCCCCAGGGCACUCCCAAGUGACAGGGUAACACUCCCCCGCCAGGGACGCUCCACUGCAAGGGGGACAAGGAGGGACAAGGAGCCCGGGCUGGGUCUGUCACAACAAUCUGUCACACAGAGUGAUCCCUCUCCAGGAAUAUGCCAGGAGCCCUUCUGGUCAGGGCCACUGUUCAGCAACAGACCCUCUUCAGAUGGAUCCCUCUGGCAGCACCACUUGGAGACCCUCCCGUGUGCAGUAGUCUGAACACUUAAUAAAAGUGGAGAAGAAUGCAAAUUAGGAGCUGAGAAGCUUGUAAUAAGAAUGAUUUGUCAUGACAACUGUGUGCAGAGGUGAAAGAUGCUCAAUGCCUUAGGCAAGUAGAGGGCCCAGAACUACUCUGACACAAGCCGAUGAUUUUGAAAGGCAGACUCAAUGAAAAACAGCACAGAAUCAAGCUGUUGGGUUCUUACAGGAAAGUUAUUUGAUCUGAAUGAGGGUAUGUGGAAGAGCAAGAUACUGUCUUUUUCCAAAAUUCUUUGAUUUUGUGAAAGUUGCUGAAUGCCCACAGCAAAUCCAUAUAUUUCAGCUCAAGCAGCAUUUUGAGGCAGGUUCCUACUUCUCCUAUGUAGGAUUGUUUUUCUCUGGGGGUGCUGCUGCCAUUAAAGAACAGAGAUGGGAGAGGAUUUGGAUUGAACACCUUCCUCCUUCCAGAACUAAGGUGGAGGGGAGCAAAAUGCAGCCCCUCAUUCAUGCCCUGGUAGGUCAUUACACAGCCACAGCUGUCACCUGCCGAGCCCUGCAGGGCUGCUGGUCUGUGAUGCCUUAGCAAGUUGUAAAAGGAACUACUGGCAGUUUGUUACUAAACAUAAACAAGAACGUGUUCCUUUUGUGCCCAUCUCCUUUCCUCCCUAGUCUAUGAACUUUCCUGAAGAGCUGAUUAUGGCACUUGCCUGAGUUUACAGGGAGCAGUAUCUUGUAUCUAAUAAAUACCUUGUCUAAUAAAACAAGGUAUUUCAAGAGCUCUGCAAAUCCCUUUGGACUGAGAGGACCUUUGGAACACUCCUCAUCACAGCAAAGAGCUGUGUAAAUUCAGCUUUAAAAAUGUUGCAGUUCAAAUGAGAAGCCUGCAUACAUCAAUAGUGGCAGCGCUGAAGCAAGAAGCUUUGGCAGUCCAUGAGAAGAGCAGCAGGGACACUUUGGGAGCCUGUUGUGUUUUGUGUGGUUUUUGCACCUUGAACACACACCCAGGCACACAGACUCAGUCUAGUCUACCCUGGCAGCCGAUUGCUGACAAGUGUGAAACAAUCAUUUCUAGAUAGGUUUAAAUCAUUCUCAUGGCUUUGCCCUGCAAAGCAAAGUGCAAAGCCUACACUUCUCAUCCAAAGUUGGGAAUUUGCCCGUUCCAGGUAGAAUUUAGCUGGAAUAUCUGCAACUCAAAAAAUUCUUUAGAAACCCAAGACUGUUAAGCUGGAGUUGGUGGCCCUUAGCCUGCUAACCUUGGGCAUCUAGACUGAGUGUCUUUGCUGCUUAACAUGAAUCAGAAAGCACAGACAGCCAGAACAGGUCUUGGGAAAGACAUCAAACAAACACCAGAAGGGAUUAAUGAAUACAAGGUUUUUCUUUCUUUUUUAUGUUUUGGUUAAUCUUUCUCAUUUAAAAGCUGUACUAAUAUCCUUGAUUUUAGGAAUGAGCAAUCCCAUGUUUUAUAAACAUUCUAAAUCCUGCCGUAGAAGAGGUGUUGGGUCCCAAAACCUGCUGUGUGCAGUUUGUGUCAUAGCCUGACAUCAAUUAAGACAUAAAGAGCAAAAGAGAUCUUUCUGCUGCUGCAAAGGGGGACAUAUUGAAGCCAAUCCCCAUCCCGAAGAACAUGUGUUUCUCUACUAGACAGAUGAGAUUGGAGUUCAUCCGGGAGUUGUUUUCUUUCUUACAAGUACUAUUCCCAACCUUGUUUGUGAAUUUAGCCAUGGAAUAAAUAAACAAAAUAAAGCAGUGUUGUGAGUAAUCACCCAAGGUGUGUCCAUCCCAAAGGAAAAAGCCCCACAGCUGUGGCAGGGGUGCUCCCUGCUACCCACACAGCCAGGAGGAUGUACUGGUGACAGCAGUCUGCGUGGUGGAGGGUCUCUGUUAGAGCUGCACGCCUAUUUUAUGUGGGUGACCAUCCGAUGAUCACACCAGUCCUUUUGGACUGCUGAACUGAAUUUGAACAGGCAAAUGAGAUUUCUGUGUUUGUCAUCCAGCAGUUGUAGUAAUUGUCCAAGGCACAGUUGUUGUAAAUAAAAUCACAGAUGUUGAAGUCCCCCUCUGUUUUGCUGCUGGUAGCAGAACACAGCUCACUGCAGCUGAUUUUCUAGUGCUUUCAAGCUGGUUUUGAGGGCCAUAUAAAAAUAAGUUGUUUGCUUAACCCCAAGUAAGCACACAGAAGGAAGUCUUUUGCACAAAUGGUGAAGAUCCUCAAUACAGUCCUUUUAAUGUAGUGGGAUGGAGUUGUAAAAGUCCCAGUUCUGCAGCAAAAGGAUUCCUUUGAUGUGGAGUACGCUUUGUAGAGACCUUGCAGAUUCCAGUGCAGGGUAUGUGUGCUGACAGGCAGGGGUUCUAGAUGGAGGGGCUGUGGAGUGAGUCCAAGCAGUGGCCUGGCCCCUGCAGUGACUCAGAGGAGUAGGGGCUUGAGCAGUCCUCCACAUGACUUCAGCGGCUCAGCAGACUUACCAGGGGCUUCAAAAUAACUCAGACUGUGGGCACCAGGGAAGUUUUCCAAGCUACUUUACACUCAACUUUCCAGUCCCUUCCCAUUAAUUUCUCAUAUAUUACUUAAGGCUGGCAAAGACCUUGGCAUCACCUGUAUUCCUAAAGCAAUUGCAGUUCAUUCAUUCAGAAACACUUACAGGAGGCUUCAAAUGAGCUGUGCUGCUUGCUUUUUUUAUUUUUUGCUACUUUAUUCCAUUUGUUUCCCAGCUAUUCUGGGAUAUUUACAAUUGUUUUCAUCCUUGGUUCCCAUCUACUAACUCUGUUUCGAGUGGGAAGGAAUUUAUGUGUUGUUUUGAAUAAAAUAUUUUUUCCAAAAUUUAGAGCGUGACAUACCCUUUUCUAAAUCCACAGGUAAAAUCCAAUGUGCAGGAAUGCAGCAGCCCAACCUCCCUUAUCCUCAGAACCAUCUACACGAAUCUUCACUGAGCCAAGACCACAAAGAGGGGAUGAGGACCUCGUGAAGAGGUUCUCAGUGGCACAUGACAAGAGGUCCUGUAUGUGCUAUCAGCCCACUGAGUAGGGCUCAGAUAGGCUGGGCCAUUCCUUGUCUGCCUCCCAUUACAGAGGGUUCAGGUUAAUCAGUAACUGAUGGUUGUGUAGUUAUGGUUAUGUGGUAUAGCCCAGAGAUGAGAGCAGCUCUCAGACCAAAGGAGAGAGGCCUCCUUGGAGAACUGAGGCCAUGUGUGAGACAGCAGAGGAGUACUAGGACUUAAACAUGAAUCGUUACCGUGUUGAAGUCUGAUGAGAUGCAUGCUUGUGGCUCAGUUCUGACUCUACCCCCACUCAUGAAAUUUUUGAGAGCUUUUCUUUACGUUAACAAACAUGUCCAAAUUCUGAGUUGCCUGCCAGCCAGAACUGGCCUGCUUCAGCUCCUACAAAGAGGCAGCUGCUUAAGCAUGUGUUUUCCACUCGCACAAGGACUUCUGCAUCAAACAUGAUGGGCAUUUUUUCCCCCUCUGUCUUCUGCUUCUGCAGCAGUAGAUUGCUUCACAGAAAUAACUUGGUCUGUGUGAAUUUGCACGAUACCAUAUUCCCUGAACUGUUUAGCCCUGAACCAUAUAAAGGAUGGUUCAGGGAUGAACCAACCUUCAAGGAUGAACCAUAUAAAGGAUAGAGAGGGUCCCUCAGAUAGGGAGUCUUCAUUUUAUAUGGAAUAAUGAGAAAUAAACACUUAAUGAUAUAGAAAAAUCUACAUACAAAUUCAUUUCCAUUCCUGCUGCACAGUAAUGGCCUUGUUUCCAGAAUCAGAAAGACAGCAGAGUAAGUAACAGAAAGCAUCAAACCCAUUUUUAUGAAAUAGGCUGUUUUGUGUCAGUGAUAGAAAGGACAAGAGAGAAAAUGCCUUCACCAAGCUGUGCUUUCUGGUGUAUUUAGUGUAUAUUGAAGUGCUUCCUGGUAUAUUUAGAAACGACUGAAUGACAGAAAAUACGGGUUGUAGUUAAGGUCCCUUAUUAACACUUUGACUGAGUGCAGAGUAAGGAAAUACACAAUAUUCUUGCAAUGAAUAAAUGAAUAUUUAACAAAUCUGAAUGAAGAUAAAUUGAGAAAAUUCUGUCAUAAAGACAAACAAAUACAUCUUUAUUGCAUAGGCAGCUGCUCCACUUGCACAUGACAAGGUUUACUUUUUGUAAUAGGGUGAGAAGGUAUUGCUAACAGUGUGGAAUACAGUAGAAUUGAGAAAAUAUAUUUUUAAAUUUCCAUAAUGGAAUAAGGCAGCAUGUCUGAGGUUACUCACAUUUUAAAUUGUUAUUACUGAAGACAUUUUUUACAUCAUUAGUUUUUAAUAUAGAUUCUGUUUGCUUCCACUUUACAACUUAACUCUGGUUUUUAGAUUGAAGAUACAACACAUGGGUGCCUGGAACGUAGAUUCUGUUAGAGCUAACCUUUUUUUUUUACUGAAUUUUACACACAUAUAUCUAGAAUAGUAACAGUUUCCUACAUUCUUCAUUAAAUAGCCCAUCUGUUCCAGUAUUUUUCCAUGCUAAAAAAAAGGCAGAAAAAGCAGCAUAUCAAAGUCAACAUGCUAAUUUUUGUAAUAUAUCUAUUGGGCAAAGAAAUUUUCUUUCUACUGACAUUUGCCAAAAGAAGAUAAAUAUUAUUGGAAGUUUGCAAUGAAGGUGUAAUAGAGUGCAUUUCUUCCCAUCCCCUUCAGAGGCCUGUAUGGAUUCCCACUCAUUCCCAGAGGAAAGUCUGUAGCACUGCAGAGGUGCUCUUGCACAAAGCCGUGGCUGCUCCAUGAACUCACAUUUAAGAAUGUUGCUUCAGGUUUUAAGCCUCUGUAUUUUUGCAUGCAAAAGUCAGUGCGAGUAUCUAUUUUAAUAUCAUAAUAGGCAUUGGUGGCUAAAGUGACUGUAAUGAUUUUUCUUCGUCGUCCCAUAUUUAAUAUGUAUUCAUCAGAGAUCAAUAAUCUGAAGAAUAUUUAGUGCAAGUUUCUACUAUGUAUGUAAGCCUCUGGAAUUCUUAGAAAACAAGUCGUUCAAGUGGUUUCAGCAGAGUUACUCAGAGAAGUCAAUCCUUUAUGUGGAAAAAAACUCAUUUGCAACACACUUGCUCCAUUUAUAUUCCAGGGAUGCCAAACUCUUGGAAGUAAUGCAUUUCAUUGGCAUUGUAGUGAUUUAGUAUAAAAAACACUGGCAUAGAUGUAAACAACAAUAUCUAACACUGCCAGAAAAAUAUUAGGAUUCCAAGCACAGCGUUCUGUGCUUUGAGACAAGUUGAGAUUAAAUCUGGGAAUCUACCAUAUGCCUAAGUCUUCCUACAGAAGGGGGAAUGCCACCAACAAUCAGCUGCUGUGGAGCCACUGUGAGGUGUUUGCAGCAAGUGACUUCUCUAGAUAACUAGAGCCACUUAGUCUGCUGUUUGGUAUUCCCAAACUUGAGAGAAACAUCAUCAUUACAGAUGGCACCUGCAGCUGAAGAAAACCGCAGUCCACAAGUGUUGUGGAACUGCGAACAUUCUAGCAAUAUCCACUAUCAACAGGAAUAUUUUUUUCUUCACUAUCUGUUCUUUAAGAAUGACAAGGAAUUAAAAGAGAAAAAUGUAGGAAUUUACAUCCAUCGAACUCAAUGAUUAUAAGAACCAGGUAAAAAUAGUGAUGCUUGUUGCUCACAUAAGCCAAAUGGUCUUGGUAUUAAAACUUUGUCAUUAUGCAAUAAACACAUUACACAAGAGUUUAGUAACUAAACCCAAGAAAUUAGACUUUUCAUUUUUAGAAGCUAUAGUUGAUUAUGAAAAGGGAAACUAUGAGUCCAUGAAAUAGAUCUGCAGUCAUUAUGGGUCUUUUUUAUUAUGUUGCUGGAGUUUUUACUGCAGUAAUGGUAAAUUUCUAAAUACAUUAUACUGCUUUGCAUAUUUAUUUUUUACUUAGUUCUCUUUUCAAGUGUGUAAAGUAUGAUUGCAUUAGUCUUCACUGAUUCAUAGGAAAUGUGAUAUGGACUGUGUCUUUUUAUUAAUGAAAGGAAAAGUAAGAACGAAGAUACAGCUUGUGAUGAGGUUUAGAAAUAUGUUUGUUUCAUUUUAAAGUAGUUCUGAUGGAAAUUAUUACAAGACUGGCAAGUCUAAGUUGUGUUGUGUAUUGCUUGUAAUACAAACCAUGCCUAAUGAGAAAAAUGAUGUAAACAAAAGCUGUGUUUUUGAGACUCAGUAUUCCUCUCUAUCCUUAUGAAUAGGGCUUCAUGUCAUAAACUAAUGAAUUAACUUAGGUAUUAAAAGAAAGAUGUUACCACUACAAUAAAUAAAUGGAUAUUUUAUUCAGAGAGUAAGAGCAGGGGAAGAACAGGUAUAUAAUUCUUUUUGCUUCUUCUGAUACUACGUGGGUUAAAAGUUAAAUUUAGCUACAGUAUUUUCACAAAGUGUUUCACAAACUGAAAGAAAGAAACCCCUGCUUGCUCCAGUGACCUUUAAUAGUUGAAACCAGCUGUUUGAUAGGCCAUAGGAAUUUGAUAGGAUUAUUUUGGACACCAAACAUGCAUCUUGGGGGUGAAGUUUGUACUGGGAGAAUUGUUUAAAUUGGCACAGAUUCAAGGCUAAAACUUUCUUAGAAAUUAUAAAAUAUAUUAAUUUUCAUAGUUUGUCAUUUAUGACAAAUGAGUGCAUAAAGGAAAACACAUAUCAAUGGGGAAAAAAAUUGGAAAGGUAAAUCUAACAAAACCAGUUUCAAUUUUCAGUAUCCUGAUAAAACAUAUUCAAACCAAACUGUCAUAUUAAGGAAAAAAAGGCAUAAGCCAUAGGAGAAAUAAAUAAAAAUGCUUUCUUCUUCUUUCCAUGCAACAUUAACUAUACUUCCUAUUUGUUCAAAUCUUUACGUGGUACAGACAAAUACAGCCUUUAAUACAACAGUCUUUUCACAUUAAGGUUCUGAACAGGGAAUUAUCCUCCCACUCUAGCUUCUAAUUUCCUCUUCCUGUCCCAUAUAUAAAACAGCUGGGUGCGGUUGUCUGAUGAGACCAGCUGCCUUGGUCUCCAAAGCUAUUUUACCCCUUCCUGCCUGGUGCAUGAGCUUUGCUCAGUUAAGGGGAAGAGGAGAGGGGUGAGUAAUUCUGGUCUGGUUUUCCAUGUUUGUUUUAAUCUCUAUGUUUCUAAACCCAGAGCAAGAAAACCAGUACUGUAUUUGUUCCAUUAGAAAACUCAAAAAGAAAAUGCAGUAAGGAAGGAGUAGCACCUCAAAAGAUGCUUAAAGAGAAGGCCUAGAGCUAAAUCUAGAAAAAGGAUUUUUGUGCUUUGCCUUUGAAUGAGACAAAGCUAAUUCAGUUAGAUAGAGAAAGAAGGAUUUUCAGCCAAGCUACAAAACAUGAGAAAAUUAGACCUGGUCUGAAUGCAAAGACUAAAGAGCUCAAGACAGUAAGAAUCUUCCCAAAUUUAUAACACAAGUAGGCUAGUGAUCAUGUGGUGUAGCUCAUUGUGGUUGAGAUCAAGAGAUGGGUGGGAGGUGCUUAAAAUGGAGGAAGGAGGAAGAAUGUCCUGAAGUUGUGCUGGGCUUUAGCUGCUGGUUCCGUAUCCAUCAGGUUUCAGUGAUGCCGAUGGAGAUUGCUGCUGUGAGCCUGGAGAGACAACAAACAAGUCUCUAGUCUUGAAAUUAGGCCAAAAGAAUCUAAAGGGUAACAUUUUGUGUGGUGCAAAGCAGAAGUCCCACAGGAACUGGAGGAAAGAAGGGGAGAGUCCUUCUAAAGGACCAGUAGAAGAAAGAAGGUGCUUGGGUAUAUGAGGUUAUCAUUGAAAUUAAGAGGGUAUAAGGAUGUAAAUAUUUAUUUGAACAUAUGCACUGGAGAAUGUUAAAAAUAAUGAUGCAUGGAGGGAAUGAAAAUUGAAUAAAUGAUUGUGAGAUUUGUCGAGGAAACCGUCUCUUGAGGCUCUAAUGACAGCAUAUUUCUUGAAAUGUGAGGAGGAAAGUCACACUAAAGAGGAAGUGGUGUGGGGAAAAAAAAACCAACUAUGCAAUGGUAUUGACAUCACAGAAUGAGCCAGGAGAUGGAAGAAGUAGGUUGCUGUGGUUUUGUGUGGCUGGAUUUUGUGUAUGUGUUUCAGGAGGAAGCAUUUGUUCUAUAUUUCCAUUUUAAAAGAGUGAAAAAGAAUGCAGCAGAGCCUGAGGGGGGUGUUCAGGAGGUGAUCAGGGACUGGCUGGAGGAAAAAAGAUGAGAAAUUUGCACACCUGCAGUAGAGACUGCGUGGAAG